rnacentral:rRNA from 1 species
UACGUAGGCAGCGAGCGUUGUUCGGAAUUACUGGGCGUAAAGAGUGUGUAGGCGGCGCUCUAAGUUCGGUGUGAAAUCUCUCGGCCUAACUGGGAGGGUGCGCCGGAAACUGGAGCGCUCGAACGUGGGAGAGGAAAGCGGAAUUCCUGGUGUAGCGGUGAAAUGCGUAGAUAUCAGGAGGAACACCUGCGGUGUAGACGGCUUUCUGGACCAUUGUUGACGCUGAGACACGAAAGCGUGGGUAGCAAACAGG